GAAAUGCGAUAAGUAGUGUGAAUUGCAGAAUUCAGUGAAUCAUCGAAUCUUUGAACGCACAUUGCGCCCCUCGGCAUUCCGUGGGGCAUGCCUGUUCGAGCGUCAUCUACACCCUCAAGCUCUGCUUGGUGUUGGGCGUCUGUCCCGCCUCCGCGCGCGGACUCGCCCCAAAUGCAUUGGCAGCGGUUCCUUGCCCCCUCUCGCGCAGCACAUUGCGCUUCUCGAGGGCGGCUCCGGGACGCGAUCCAGCAAGAUGACCACCGUCUUUGACCUCGGAUCAGGUAGGGAUACCCGCUGAACUUAAGC
rnacentral:misc_RNA from 1 species